UACGUAGGGGCCAAGCGUUGUCCGGAUUUAUUGGGCGUAAAGGGUGCGUAGGCGGGUCUUUAAGUCAGGGGGGAAAUCCUGGAGCUCAACUCCAGAACUGCCUUUGAUACUGAGGAUCUUGAGUUCGGGAGAGGUGAGUGGAACUGCGAGUGUAGAGGUGAAAUUCGUAGAUAUUCGCAAGAACACCAGUGGCGAAGGCGGCUCACUGGCCCGGUACUGACGCUGAGGUGCGAAAGCGUGGGGAGCAAACAGG
rnacentral:rRNA from 1 species